GUCGAACGGUAACAGGUCUUCGGAUGCUGACGAGUGGCGAACGGGUGAGUAAUACAUCGGAACGUGCCCGAUCGUGGGGGAUAACGAGGCGAAAGCUUUGCUAAUACCGCAUACGAUCUACGGAUGAAAGCGGGGGAUCUUCGGACCUCGCGCGGACGGAGCGGCCGAUGGCAGAUUAGGUAGUUGGUGGGAUAAAAGCUUACCAAGCCGACGAUCUGUAGCUGGUCUGAGAGGAUGAUCAGCCACACUGGGACUGAGACACGGCCCAGACUCCUACGGGAGGCAGCAGUGGGGAAUUUUGGACAAUGGGCGAAAGCCUGAUCCAGCCAUGCCGCGUGCAGGAUGAAGGCCUUCGGGUUGUAAACUGCUUUUGUACGGAACGAAAAGCCUCUUUCUAAUAAAGAGGGGUCAUGACGGUACCGUANGAAUAAGCACCGGCUAACUACGUGCCAGCAGCCGCGGUAAUACGUAGGGUGCAAGCGUUAA
rnacentral:rRNA from 1 species